ensembl:misc_RNA 7SK 7SK RNA
GGGGGUGAGGGUAAUCUGGCUGGGUCAUCUGUCACUUCACUAAUCACCAGAGUAGAUCUGACUGAUUUGGUGGCCACAUGGUUGUUCUCUUCCUCCCUCACACUCCAUGUUCAUCCCUCUUGAAAUUGUACACUUGCUUGCUGAAGAAUGUAGACUGGUGCAACCACUGUAGAAAUCAGUGUGGAGGUUCCCCAAAAACUAAAAGUACACAGGUUCCAUCUGACCUAGCUAUUGCCCUUCUUGAUACCUUCCUGAAAGAGUUAAAAGCAUCACACCACAGCCAUAUAUGCAUAUUCAUGUUUAUAUGGCACAGUUUU